GUCUAAUUUUGUACAGUACAGUUUGCCAUACAUGCCCUUAUGAUUGUUUAGUGGAGUGAACUAUACAGAGCAAUAUUUAGGUAUAAAAGGAAGUUAAAAUCUAGUCCAUGAUACAGUCUAGUCCUUCCUAGUAUAGCGUUACAAACAUGCUCUUAUUGGCUUCCAUCCUAAUUUUCCAAAGUUCUGCCAAUUUAUGUCAUGGUACAGUAAAUAACACCGCAAACAUCAUAUCGUGCCCAGCACAGAAAAAGAAGUUAAAAUUUUCUCCAUUGUAUUGUCCAAAAUCAUGGAACAAAUAGGGUGGGUAGGCCCAAGCA
rnacentral:lncRNA from 1 species